AACGAACGCUGGCGGCAGGCUUAACACAUGCAAGUCGAGCGAGACCUUCGGGUCUAGCGGCGGACGGGUGAGUAACGCGUGGGAACGUGCCCUUCUCUACGGAAUAGCCCCGGGAAACUGGGAGUAAUACCGUAUACGCCCUUUGGGGGAAAGAUUUAUCGGAGAGGGAUCGGCCCGCGUUGGAUUAGGUAGUUGGUGGGGUAAUGGCCCACCAAGCCGACGAUCCAUAGCUGGUUUGAGAGGAUGAUCAGCCACACUGGGACUGAGACACGGCCCAGACUCGUACGGGAGGCAGCAGUGGGGAAUAUUAGACAAUGGGGGCAAACCUGAUAUAGCCAUGCCGGGUGAGUGAUGAAGGCGUUAGGGUUGUAAAGCUCUUUCAGAGGGGAAGAUAAUGACGGGAACAGCAGAAGAAACCACGGCUAAAUCAGU
rnacentral:rRNA from 1 species